rnacentral:lncRNA from 1 species
GCCGGGCGUGGUGGUGGGCGCCUGUAAUCCCAGCUACUCAGGAGGCUUGAGGCAGAGGAUUGUUUGAACCUGGGAGGCGGAGGUUGCAGUGAGCUGAGAUCAUGUCACUGCACUCCAGCCUGGGCGACAGAGUGAGACUCCGUAUCAGAAAAAAAAAAAUUUUUUUUUUGAACUUUUUGAACUCUCUGGAGUGAACCCAGCAAUCUGAGGUUUUUGUUAUUUUGUUGCCCAGGCUGGAGUGCAGUGGCAGGAUCAUAGCUCAAUGCAGCCUUGAACUCCUGGACUCAAGCAAUCCUCCUGCC